UACGGGGGGGGCAAGUGUUGUUCGGAAUUACUGGGCGUAAAGGGCUCGUAGGUGGCCAACUAAGUCGGACGUGAAAUCCCUCGGCUUAACCGGGGAACUGCGUCUGAUACUGGAUGGCUUGAGUUCGGGAGAGGGAUGCGGAAUUCCAGGUGUAGCGGUGAAAUGCGUAGAUAUCUGGAGGAACACCGGUGGCGAAGGCGGCAUCCUGGACCGACACUGACACUGAUCCGCGACAGCAUGGGGAGCGAACGGG
rnacentral:rRNA from 1 species